CUUAAUUUGACUCAACACGGGGAAACUCACCAGGUCCAGACAUAACUAGGAUUGACAGAUUGAUAGCUCUUUCUUGAUUUUAUGGGUGGUGGUGCAUGGCCGUUCUUAGUUGGUGGAGUGAUUUGUCUGGUUAAUUCCGAUAACGAACGAGACCUUAACCUGCUAAAUAGCCCGGCCGGCCUUUGCUGGUCGUUGGCUUCUUAGAGGGACUGUCAGCGUCUAGCUGACGGAAGUUUGAGGCAAUAA
rnacentral:rRNA from 1 species